GCCGGGGGUGGUGGCUCACACCUGUAAUCCCAGCUACUCAGGAGGCUGAGGCAGGAGAAUUGCUUGAACCCAGGAGGCGGAGGUUGCAGUGAGCCGAGAUCGUGCCACUGCACCCCAGCCUGGGCGACAGAGCGAGACUCUGUCUCAA
ensembl:misc_RNA Metazoa_SRP Metazoan signal recognition particle RNA